rnacentral:rRNA from 1 species
CGAAGAACCUUACCAGGGUUUGAAAUCAUUUCAAAACUCCUUGAAAGAGGAGCCUCCUUCGGGAUGAAAUGACAGGUGGUGCAUGGCUGUCGUCAGCUCGUGUUGUGAAAUGUCGAGUUAAGUCUCGUAACGAGCGCAACCCAUGUCUCUUGUUGCUCACUGAGUGCUUAAGAGAGACUGCCGACCAACAUCGGAGGAAGGUGUGGAUGAUGUCAAGUCAGCAUGCCCCUUACAUCCUGGGCUACACACGUACUACAAUGGUAAGGACAAUGAGCUGCGAUCCUGCGAAGGCUAGCCAAUCUCAAAAACCUUAUCUCAGUUCGGAUUGCACUCUGCAACUCGAGUGCAUGAAGGUGGAAUCGCUAGUAAUCGCUGGUCAGCUAUACAGCGGUGAAUACGUUCCCGGGUC